CNGCCNUGCCGCGUGCAGGAAGAAUGCCCUAUGGGUAGUAAACUGCUUUUAUACGGGAAGAAAAAAGAGUACGUGUACUCUACUGACGGUACCGUAAGAAUAAGGACCGGCUAACUCCGUGCCAGCAGCCGCGGUAAUACGGAGGGUCCGAGCGUUAUCCGGAAUUAUUGGGUUUAAAGGGUCCGUAGGCGGGCCGAUAAGUCAGGGGUGAAAGUUUGCAGCUCAACUGUAAAAUUGCCUUUGAUACUGUUGGUCUUGAGUUAUAGUGAAGUUGCCGGAAUAUGUAGUGUAGCGGUGAAAUGCAUAGAUAUUACAUAGAACACCGAUUGCGAAGGCAGGUGACUAACUAUAUACUGACGCUGAUGGACGAAAGCGUGGGGAGCGAACAGGAUUAGAUACCCUGGUAG
rnacentral:rRNA from 1 species